GCAAUAGUAGCUCAGCGCCAGAGC
rnacentral:tRNA from 1 species